rnacentral:tRNA from 1 species
GCGGACGUGGCGGAAUUGGCAGACGCGCAUGACUUAGGAUCAUGUCCCGUAAGGGAUGGGAGUUCAAGUCUCCCCGUCCGCA